rnacentral:rRNA from 1 species
GAUAAACGCCGGCGGCGUGCCUAAUACAUGCAAGUCGAACGGGGGUAGCAAUACCCUAGUGGCGUACGGGUGAGUAACACGUUGGUAACCUGCCCUCAGGACCGGAAUACCAGAAGGAAACUUCUGCUAAUGCCGGAUAACAUCAUUUUAUCGCAAGAUAGUUUGAUCAAAGGCGGCUAUUGCCGCGCCAGAGGAUGGACCUGCGUCGCAUUAGUUAGUUGGCGGGAUAACAGCCCACCAAGACCAGGAUGCGUAGCCGAGCUGAGAGGCUAAACGGCCACAUUGGGACUGAGACACGGCCCAGACUCC